rnacentral:rRNA from 1 species
UAAUACGGAGGAUCCAAGCGUUAUCCGGAAUCAUUGGGUUUAAAGGGUCCGUAGGCGGUUUAGUAAGUCAGUGGUGAAAGCCCAUCGCUCAACGGUGGAACGGCCAUUGAUACUGCUGAACUUGAAUUAUUAGGAAGUAACUAGAAUAUGUAGUGUAGCGGUGAAAUGCUUAGAGAUUACAUGGAAUACCAAUUGCGAAGGCAGGUUACUACUAAUGGAUUGACGCUGAUGGACGAAAGCGUGGGUAGCGAACAGGAUUAGAUACCCUGGUAGUCCACGCCGUAAACGAUGGAUACUAGCUGUUGGAAGCAAUUUCAGUGGCUAAGCGAAAGUGAUAAGUAUCCCACCUGGGGAGUACGUUCGCAAGAAUG